GAUGAACGCUGGCGGCGUGCCUAAUACAUGCAAGUCGAGCGAACGGACGAGAAGCUUGCUUCUCUGAUGUUAGCGGCGGACGGGUGAGUAACACGUGGAUAACCUACCUAUAAGACUGGGAUAACUUCGGGAAACCGGAGCUAAUACCGGAUGAUAUUUUGAACCGCAUGGUUCAAAAGUGAAAGACGGUCUUGCUGUCACUUAUAGAUGGAUCCGCGCUGCAUUAGCUAGUUGGUAAGGUAACGGCUUACCAAGGCAACGAUGCAUAGCCGACCUGAGAGGGUGAUCGGACAGACUGGAACUGAGACACGGUCCAGACUCCUACGGGAGGCAGCAGUAGGGAAUCUUCCGCAAUGGGCGAAAGCCUGACGGAGCAACGCCGCGUGAGUGAUGAAGGUCUUCGGAUCGUAAAACUCUGUUAUUAGGGAAGAACAUAUGUGUAAGUAACUGUGCACAUCUUGACGGUACCUAAUCAGAAAGCCACGGCUAACUACGUG
rnacentral:rRNA from 1 species